GUCUAUAGCCAUACCACCCUCACUCAACAUGCCUGAUCUCCUCUGAUCUUGGAAGCUAAGUAGGGUCAGGCCUGAUUAGUACCUGGAGGGGAAGAGUGACCCACAGAGAUGGUUCCAGAAUACAGAGACCAAUAAAUA
rnacentral:rRNA from 1 species